CUUUCACCAAGCUCAGUCGUGACAGAUCAAGUCCACAUGGCAACUAUUAUUUUUACAGUGCACUAGUUUGGACCAGGAACCAGGGGACACAAGUUAGGACCAGGAACCAGGGGAGCACCAGUUUGGACCAGAAAUCAGGGGGCACCAGUUUGGACCAGGGACCACGGGGGAACCGAAAAAAUGUGUAUUGCCUAUUAAACUGGAAACAUGGACAAGAUUAUUCUGGACCUUCUCACAGCUUCCCCGCCCCUCCCCUCUCAAUACUGAAAUGCAAAACAUUUGAAAAUUGAUGAAGUUUUCAUUGACCAUCAACCAGUCUGGGCCAGAGAUGUGACCAUUACGUCAGAACCAAAAGCAACUGGACCUGAUAUCAGAUGGACCAAUGUCCAACGGCCAGG
ensembl:lncRNA